AGAGUAGAGCGGAUGGCCGCUGCCCCGGUUUCGGGGGAGAGGAAAGUCCGAGCUCCACAGGGUGAGCGUAGUGGGUAACGCCCAUCGUCCACACUUUUAACAGAGUGUGAGAUAGGAUCAGAGCCACAGAGACGAGUAACAGCUGUUUUUCACCAAUGGCAGGCCCUUCGGCCCUAUGGCCUCAGGGUCCCCAGCAAAAAGUGAAAUAAUGGCUGGGAAGUGAAACGCGGCAAUCUCUACGCGGAGAAAGGUCAAAUAGGGAAGGAUGCUUAUAUGGCAACGAGCUUAACCCCGCUCGUCAUGACUUUCGGGUUGACCGCUAAUAAGACCCUUCGCUUCGCUCAGGGUCAUUUCUGAGUGGGGCUGAGGGAAAUGAUCUUGUCGGCAACGGCAAGGCUAGAUGGAUGGCCAUCGAUUACAGAACUCGGCUUAUAGCUCUGCUCUCUUA
rnacentral:RNase_P_RNA from 1 species